GACGAACGCUGGCGGCGUGCUUAACACAUGCAAGUCGAACGGAAAGGCCCCUUUGGGGGUACUCGAGUGGCGCACGGGUGAGUAACACGUGAGUAACCUGCCCUUGACUUCGGGAUAACUUCAGGAAACUGGGGCUAAUACCGGAUAGGAAUCCUUGCUGCAUGGUGGGGGUUGGAAAGCUUCGGCGGUUUUGGAUGGACUCGCGGCUUAUCAGCUUGUUGGUGGGGUAGUGGCUUACCAAGGCUUUGACGGGUAGCCGGCCUGAGAGGGCGACCGGCCACAUUGGGACUGAGAUACGGCCCAGACUCCUACGGGAGGCAGCAGUGGGGAAUAUUGCACAAUGGGCGGAAGCCUGAUGCAGCAACGCCGCGUGCGGGAUGACGGGCUUCGGGUUGUAAACCGCUUUCAGCAGGGGCGAAGCUUGUGGUGACGGUACCUGCAGAAGAAGCACCGGCUAACUACGUG
rnacentral:rRNA from 1 species